CAGUCGCCACGGUAAAACGGGGGAUGCAAGUGUUAUCCGGAAUAAUUGGGCGUAAAGCGUCUGUAGGUGGUUUACCAAGUCUGUUGUUAAAAAUCAGGGCUCAACCCUGAUCCGGCAACAGAAACUAAUAGACUUGAGUACGGUAGGGGCAGAGGGAAUUCUCGGUGUAGUGGUGAAAUACGUAGAUAUCGAGAAGAACACCAAUAGCGAAAGCACUCUGCUGGGCCGAAACUGACAUUGAGAGACGAAAGCUAGGGGAGCAAAAGGGAUUAGAUACCCCAGUAGUCCCUGUCUCUUAUAC
rnacentral:rRNA from 1 species